AUUGAACGCUGGCGGCAGGCUUAACACAUGCAAGUCGAGCGGAGAUGAGGUGCUUGCACCUUAUCUUAGCGGCGGACGGGUGAGUAAUGCUUAGGAAUCUGCCUAUUAGUGGGGGACAACAUUCCGAAAGGAAUGCUAAUACCGCAUACGUCCUACGGGAGAAAGCAGGGGAUCUUCGGACCUUGCGCUAAUGGAUGAGCCUAAGUCGGAUUAGCUAGUUGGUGGGGUAAAGGCCUACCAAGGCGACGAUCUGUAGCGGGUCUGAGAGGAUGAUCCGCCACACUGGGACUGAGACACGGCCCAGACUCCUAGCGGAGGCAGCAGUGGGGAAUAUUGGACAAUGGGGGGAACCCUGAUCCAGCCAUGCCGCGUGUGUGAAGAAGGCCUUAUGGUUGUAAAGCACUUUAAGCGAGGAGGAGGCUACUGAGACUAAUACUCUUGGAUAGUGGACGUUACUCGCAGAAUAAGCACCGGCUAACUCUGUGCCAGCCGCCGCGGUAACAC
rnacentral:rRNA from 1 species